UCGGGAAUUUUGGGCAAUGGGCGAAAGCCUGACCCAGCAACGCCGCGUGAAGGAUGAAGUAUUUCGGUAUGUAAACUUCGUAAGAAUAGGAAGAAUAAAUGACGGUACUAUUUAUAAGGUCCGGCUAACUACGUGCCAGCAGCCGCGGUAAUACGUAGGGACCAAGCGUUGUUCGGAUUUACUGGGCGUAAAGGGCGCGUAGGCGGCAUGACAAGUCACUUGUGAAAUCUCUGGGCUUAACCCAGAACGGCCAAGUGAUACUGUCGCGCUAGAGUGCAGAAGGGGCAAUCGGAAUUCUUGGUGUAGCGGUGAAAUGCGUAGAUAUCAAGAGGAACACCUGAGGUGAAGACGGGUUGCUGGGCUGACACUGACGCUGAGGCGCGAAAGCCAGGGGAGCAAACGGGAUUAGAUACCCUUGUAGUCCCUGAGCGGGCUGGCAAGGCGCAU
rnacentral:rRNA from 1 species